rnacentral:rRNA from 1 species
ACGGAAGGCAGCAGUGGGGAAUAUUGCACAAUGGGGGAAACCCUGAUGCAGCGACGCCGCGUGAGUGAAGAAGUUAUUCGUAAUGUAAAGCUCUAUCAGCAGGGAAGAAAAUGACGGUACCUGACUAAGAAGCCCCGGCUAACUACGUGCCAGCAGCCGCGGUAAUACGUAGGGGGCAAGCGUUAUCCGGAUUUACUGGGUGUAAAGGGAGCGCAGACGGCUUUGCAAGUCUGAUGUGAAAGGCAGGGGCUCAACUCCUGGACUGCAUUUGGAACUGUCAAGCUAGAGUAUCGGAGAGGUAAGUGGAAUUCCUAGUGUAGCGGUGAAAUGCGUAGAUAUUAGGAGGAACACCAGUGGCGAAGGCGGCUUACUGGACGAUAACUGACGUUGAGGCUCGAAAGCGUGGGGAGCAAACAGGAUUAGAUACCCUGGUA